UACGUAGGGGGCAAGCGUUGUCCGGAAUCAUUGGGCGUAAAGAGCGUGUAGGCGGCCCGAUAAGUCCGCCGUGAAAGUCCAGGGCUCAACCCUCGGAUGCCGGUGGAUACUGGCGGGCUAGAGUGCGGGAGAGGAGAGUGGAAUUCCUGGUGUAGCGGUGGAAUGCGCAGAUAUCAGGAGGAACACCGAUAGCGAAGGCAGCUCGCUGGGACGGUACUGACGCUGAGGCGCGAAAGCGUGGGGAGCGAACAGG
rnacentral:rRNA from 1 species